rnacentral:rRNA from 1 species
UAGGGAAUCUUCCGCAAUGGACGCAAGUCUGACGGAGCAACGCCGCGUGAGUGAAGAAGGAUUUCGGUUCGUAAAACUCUGUUGUUAGAGAAGAACAGCGCAUAGAGUAACUGUUAUGCGUGUGACGGUAUCUAACCAGAAAGCCACGGCUAACUACGUGCCAGCAGCCGCGGUAAUACGUAGGUGGCAAGCGUUGUCCGGAUUUAUUGGGCGUAAAGCGAGCGCAGGCGGUCAAUUAAGUCUGAUGUGAAAGCCUCCGGCUCAACCGGGGAGGGUCAUUUGAAACUGGUUGACUUGAGUGCAGAAGAGGAGAGUGGAAUUCCAUGUGUAUCGGUGAAAUGCGUAGAUAUAUGGAGGAACACCAGUGGCGAAGGCGACUCUCUGGUCUGUAACAGACGCUGAGGUUCGAAAGCGUGGGUAGCAAACAGG